AUUUUGAGGCUUGCGAUCUCAGGCGCCCAAGAUGACUCUUGUAAAGUCAGAGUAUCCCUCUCAUCAACACGUUUGUGUUCGUUUUAACAAAGGUGCUGUGUUAAAAGUGGGCACAAACUAUGUCGGAAGAAGUAUCUCGCAGGUUGACAAAGUGCUUUGAUGCGAGCAAGUGGAUGGAUAGUGACGAGCUUAGGGGGUCGCUCAUUGUUCUUGGGUACUAAUGAAUGGCUAAGGAUUACAAUCCGGGGUUAAGAGGAGAUGCUAUUUACUUCACUUUGUGUAGAUGCUGAAGUUGAGCCCAGCACUACGUCUGGAGCCUUAUGAUUUGGGUGUUUUUCAGCAUUACCCACUAACCUUCGUGUCAGUUUGUUUCCAUUACCCACUAACUUGCAUCGCAGUUUCAUCAUAGACGGAUUAGGUGCUCAUUUAGUCCUCCACGCGUACUUUGCAUGGUCACUCUAUUUCUC